AAGAAGUUUAGCUAAAGAGGAGAAGACCUGGAGCUCUGACUGAAGGUUCAACCUGGUAGGCUGAAGAUCUGAGGCCUCAACCUGUUUAUCUUCUACCAAGAAGCUGUUGUUACUCAGGGGACUGAAAGGUGGAAAGCUCUUCAUACUAAAACAGUAUUAGGAAAGGACCUGUUGGGAUUUUAGAACAACAACCAGUCCCAUGGAAGGAAAACUGGUUUUAUAUGAGGCAAACAAGGCAGCUGAUCAGUUGAUGGUUCAACAAGUUAAACAGUCAGUCGGUGACUGCUGGGAGCUUCUUCUGACAGAGGUCAGAGAAUCAUCACAGCAGAACCAGGAGACAACGUCAUUCUGACAUGUAGAGCAGCUGAGAACAAAGAUGUUAGAGUUGUAAAGUGGAGCAGAACUGAUCUGGAGUCAGAUCAUUAUGUUCUUCUGUACAGGGACAGUCAGUUUGAUCCAGAGGGUCAGUCUCCAUCCUUUAGGAACCGGGUGUCUCUGCUGGACGUGAAGAAUGGAGACGUGUCUUUGGUUCUGAAGAAAGUGACGACUGAUGAUACAGGAACAUAUGAGUGUCGAGUCGUUCAGGGAGGAAAUAAUGAAUUUAUGUUCAUCUGCACCAUUAACCUGAUAGUUGAAGCAGG